rnacentral:rRNA from 1 species
UACGUAGGGCGCAAGCGUUAUCCGGAAUUAUUGGGCGUAAAGAGCUCGUAGGCGGUUUGCCGCGUCUGCCGUGAAAGUCCGGGGCUCAACUCCGGAUCUGCGGUGGGGUACGGGCAGACUAGAGUGAUGUAGGGGAGACUGGAAUUCCUGGUGUAGCGGUGAAAUGCGCAGAUAUCAGGAGGAACACCGGUGGCGAAGGCGGGUCUCUGGGCAAUAACUGACGCUGAGGAGCGAAAGCGUGGGGAGCGAACAGG